UGUUUUGGUCUGUUUUUCUCAUACUAUAUGCAAUAGGUCUACUAUAUUUGUUGUAUGGAAUGAUUGUAAGCUAUACAUGUCUAGCGGGUAGAUGUCAUGUGACCUUGACCUCAUUUUCAUGGUUCAGUGGUCAGUUUUUGAGUUUUGGUCUUUUUAUCUAAUACUAUAUGCCAUAGGUCAACUAUAUUUGGUGUAUGGAAAUAUUUUAUGAUCUUUAUGUCAGUCUCGCAGGUUUUAUUUGACCGUGACCUCAUUUUCACGGUUCAUUGCACAGUGUUAAGUUUUUGUGUUUUGGUCUAUUUUUCUUAAACUAUCAGUAAUGGGUCAACUAUAUAUGUUGUAUAGAAGCAUUGUUAGCUGUACUUGUUUGCCUGGCAUGGUACAUCUGACCUUGACCUCAUUUUCAAGGUUCAUUGGUCUUUGUUUAGUUAUCUUGGUUAAUGUUAAGUUUAUGUGACAGUUGUAAUAAAGCUUAGCUUUAUACUUAGGACUAUCAACAUAAUAUCAAUGAUUAGUAUAGAAGGCGAGACAUUUUAGCGUGUGCACUCUUGU
rnacentral:lncRNA from 1 species